UACGAAGGGGGCUAGCGUUGUUCGGAAUUACUGGGCGUAAAGGGCGCGCAGGCGGCCCUCCAAGUCAGGUGUGAAAGCCCCGGGCUCAACCCGGGAAUUGCACUUGAGACUGGGGGGCUUGAGUUCGGGAGAGGAGAGUGGAAUUCCCAGUGUAGAGGUGAAAUUCGUAGAUAUUAGGAAGAACACCGGUGGCGAAGGCGGCCCACUGGAUCGGUACUGACGCUGAGGUGCGAAAGCGUGGGGAGCAAACAGG
rnacentral:rRNA from 1 species